UGGGGAAUAUUGCACAAUGGGCGCAAGCCUGAUGCAGCCAUGCCGCGUGUGUGAAGAAGGCCUUCGGGUUGUAAAGCACUUUCAGCGGGGAGGAAGGCGUUAAGGUUAAUAACCUUGGCGAUUGACGUUACCCGCAGAAGAAGCACCGGCUAACUCCGUGCCAGCAGCCGCGGUAAUACGGAGGGUGCAAGCGUUAAUCGGAAUUACUGGGCGUAAAGCGCACGCAGGCGGUCUGUCAAGUCGGAUGUGAAAUCCCCGGGCUCAACCUGGGAACUGCAAUAGAAACUGGCAGGCUAGAGUCUUGUAGAGGGGGGUAGAAUUCCAGGUGUAGCGGUGAAAUGCGUAGAGAUCUGGAGGAAUACCGGUGGCGAAGGCGGCCCACUGGACAAAGACUGACGCUCAGGUGCGAAAGCGUGGGGAGCAAACAGG
rnacentral:rRNA from 1 species